rnacentral:rRNA from 1 species
GAUGAACGCUGGCGGCGUGCCUAAUACAUGCAAGUCGAGCGAACAGAUGAGGAGCUUGCGCCUCUGACGUUAGCGGCGGACGGGUGAGUAACACGUGGAUAACCUACCUAUAAGACUGGGAUAACUUCGGGAAACCGGAGCUAAUACCGGAUAAUAUAUUGAACCGCAUGGUUCAAUAGUGAAAGACGGUUUUGCUGUCACUUAUAGAUGGAUCCGCGCCGCAUUAGCUAGUUGGUAAGGUAACGGCUUAUCAAGGCAACGAUGCGUAGCCGACCUGAGAGGGUGAUCGGCCACACUGGAACUGAGACACGGUCAAGACUCCUACGGGAGGCAGCAGUAGGGAAUCUUACGCAAUGGGCGAAAGCCUGACGGAGCAACGCCGCGUGAGUGAUGAAGGUCUUCGGAUCGUAAAACUCUGUUAUUAGGGAAGAACAAAUGUGUAAGUAACCAUGCACGUCUUGACGGUACCUAAUCAGAAAGCCACGGCUAACUACGUG